rnacentral:rRNA from 1 species
AUUGAACGCUGGCGGCAGGCUUAACACAUGCAAGUCGAGCGGGGUGAUGGUGCUUGCACUAUCACUUAGCGGCGGACGGGUGAGUAAUGCUUAGGAAUCUGCCUAUUAGUGGGGGACAACAUCUCGAAAGGGAUGCUAAUACCGCAUACGUCCUACGGGAGAAAGCAGGGGAUCACUUGUGACCUUGCGCUAAUAGAUGAGCCUAAGUCGGAUUAGCUAGUUGGUGGGGUAAAGGCCUACCAAGGCGACGAUCUGUAGCGGGUCUGAGAGGAUGAUCCGCCGCACUGGGACUGAGACACGGCCCAGACUCCUACGGGAGGCAGCAGUUGGGAAUAUUGGACAAUGGGGGGAACCCUGAUCCAGCCAUGCCGCGUGUGUGAAGAAGGCCUUAUGGUUGUAAAGCACUUUAAGCGAGGAGGAGGCUCUUUUGGUUAAUACCCAAGAUGAGUGGACGUUACUCGCAGAAUAAGCACCGGCUAACUCUGUGCCAGCAGCCGCAGUAA